UUAAAAAAAAAAAAAUCAACAUGCGUUUCAUCGGUUCGAAUGCCGCCGCCCUCUCCAUUCCACGCACUCCCAAAUUCAUAACUAGCGCUCUGAAAGUUUCACCCUCCAAGGCAUUUCGUUUCAAUUAUUUUUGAAGAACAUUUUGAUUCCCUUAACGAUGGAGGCCGUGAAGACGACGAGGGGAGCGAGAGGUAGAAGAGGUGGAGACAGGAAGAAUUCGGUCCGAAGUCUAUCAGGAUUGGGCUUCAAUUCCCCGUGGGUCGGAUUGCUCGGUAUUUGAAGAAGGGUCGCUACGCUCAGAGGAUAGGCUCUGGUGCUUCAAUCUACCUCGCCGCGGUUCUUGAAUAUCUCCCUGCUGAGUGGUGGAAUGAAUGAAUAUAUUUGGUUAUGUGAGAGAAAUAAUAUACAAAGUAUAGUCCAUUCCCCUAUCAAUGGAUUGCAAGACAUAUAUAGCAAUCAAAUCUUAAAUGUAACAUAUCUUAAUUCUCAGAACCACAAGCACAUCCCAGAACCUUCAUGAAGAAGACAAAGAUAGUCCAGUUGCCAAGAAAAGAGAUCUCCAGUAGAGAGGGUGAAUUCCAUCAAAGAGAGGAAAAACACCAAGAGGUAGGAAAAUUAGUUUUGUUAAUGUUGUGUUGGGGACUUAGUUGAUUGGUUAAGUUUGUAAGCAUUGUAGUUAGAUGGGUCACUUGUAAAGUUGUGGUGACGUUACUUUAUGUGCUACACUUUACCAAACUGAUGAUGUUACAAUAAAUGACUAGAGUUUUUCACAAAUUCUCCGCUUUUGUGUUUUUUAUUUAUAUAGCAUUGCAUCUAUGAAAUAAAAACAACAGUGAACUUUCCAGCAGCAGCAAAGUAAAAAUUGUAAAUGAUAAAAAUAGACAUCACUAAAGAAUAUAACUUCAGAAGCAAAUUCAAAAAUGCCAAUAGUAAAAAUUGUAGUUCAAUUCUUCAUUAAAAGCUCGAAAUCCAAAACUGUAACAAGUAUGAGAAUACAUCAUCAAAACCUCGAAAUCCAAAACUAUACAAUGGAUGAACUGAUUUGAGAAUACAUCAUAAAAGAUUCAAAUCCUCAACUGAGCAAGAUCAAAUAUAUCAACUCGAGCAAACUCGAAAUCCAAAACUAUAAACAACAAGACUCCAAAUAAUCAACUGAGCAAGCUUGCAUUUUCUAAUGUUUGUGCACUGAGAAUUAGAGCCAAUUAUUUAUUAUGAGAAUAUGGCAUCCAUCUCUACUUGGUUUACAACUUCUUGUCCUCCUUCAACCUAAGAACAAGAGUAGUAGUUCUUUUCUGUUAGCAUACCUACAAAACUCAUAAAUCAUACUUUGCAUAAUUGCCAAAAUCUUUUUUUUUUUUUUAACAACAGGUGCCAAUAAAAAAAAAAAAAUUCUAAUGGCUUUACAGUUUUAAAAUGCCCAAACCCUCCUAGAGAAGCAAAAGCCCUGACAAAGGUAUAUCAUCCCACGUCUUCCGAACUGUAUUGUCUCUUCUAUGAAUGCUCUCCUUUAUCAAAUGAAGUAUAUUUGCCCAUAUGAAAAAUUCACAUCUCGCUUGUGCAACUUCUCCCUGCACAUAGUACGAACAUUUAAUUAACAUGGUAAAGUACACCUCCUAAACUAAAAAACAAUAUGCAUUUAUAGACAUUUAUAAACAAUUCUAAUGUUCUGUUUGAGAUAUGUACUGUAGGUAUAAACAUUUAUAAACAAUUCCCAACUGCAUGAAAUUGUCAAGAUUACUUUCACUAGGCCAUUGUAGGACGUUCUUUGAAAAUGAGUGAAGAUCUGUUUGUAAAUGAAAUUGAUGGCUAAUGAGAUAGUCAUUAUCAGCUGUACAAUGUACUAAUUAUAAGUGAAAUAUAAGAGUUUUCAUUAAAGGUUACCACGCUAGCAAUCUGUGUAUCACAGGAAAUUGUCUCCUGAGUUGUUGUUGUUACAGGCUUUCAAAAGUGCAAAAAUCAUAUUGAAUUGACUUUAAACCUCAAUAAGUUGUUGCGUAAUUUCAACCUCCCAAAUAAUAUCACAGCUCUACUCAAACGUAUAUGGUAUCUUCAAGUACAUCUUUAUAACAUCCUAAUAAAAUUCAGAACCCGGGCAACAAAGAAUAUCCUAAAUGCAUUUCCAUGGAAGGUCUAAGCUUUGUUGAUGUAAUAUUUUCUUAGAAGGCAAUGAGAGAGAACUGGACUAGCACUUCUAGCUAACAAACGGUAUAUAAGUUAGAAUUUUUCUAGUGGCCAAUAUCUUCAAUUAAUAGCAAAGUGAUAUCCUUUCAAUUCAUUCCAACAAGGUACUUUCCUUUGGCGUAAUAACUAUUUCAUGUUAAAACUUCUAGUCUCACAUCAAAAAAUUUAUUGAGCUUCUACUCAAUUAACUUGGACUCUUUAGAGUUCAAUAAUUGGUACAAGAGUCAAAACCGUAAAUUGAAUGACUUGAAAAUUCAUGAAAUACUUGGUCAAUUUACAUGCAUGAACUUCAUAGACUUGGUUACUUCAAAGAUUAUUAAAGAAAGCAGUAUACAAUUACAUAAUUUUCAUCAAUCUAUUAUCAUGAAGUCAGAAACUUUCUUCAUCGUAUACAGACAAGCUUAGUUUGAAAAAGACAUCAAACUUCAAAUGAGGAUAAAAAUAAGACAUCAGACUUCAGAAUGUAUGCCUAAACCCUAUGAAUCACAUAGAAAAAUAGAGAUGGAGUAAACCAUACAAUUUCGAGUUAAGAAUAAAUACCUCUACAGUGGCCAUAGAUCUCUUGAGCAGAAAUAAUACCCUAGAAUUGCAGGUCGCUGAUUUACAUUUUGGGGGAAAUGUAAAGGAAUGGAGGGGUUGCUAAGUAGAGGGAGGGUCGACGGUAACGGCGGUGCUGGGUAGAGGGAAGGUCGACGGCGACUGAAAUGCCAUUGUAGAGGAUGGGCGACGCGGUGGUUUGGGCGAGAGAAUGCCCGAUGUGAGGGUGGAGUAGAGGAUGUCAAAUUUUCAAAUGGGUGAGAGUUGAGAGAGAACGUGCAGUAGGGAUGAGGGAAAAGGAUAGUUCUACGGAGAAGCUACUGUAGCAGUGCACACAAUGCACUCAUACGUGGCUUCUCUCGGUAAAUGUUCUUUUUGUAAAAUAAAAACAAAAUGUCGUUUUGAUCUCGGUCCAUUUCUCUUUUUCUAUUUGAAAUUUCUCCAUUCGAAUUUGUCCUGCGAAAUACCUUCUCCCUCGCCUGCAUCGCGUCACCUUCCUUUGCCCAGAGUCACCCGACGACGCCGUCUCUCUAUUCAGCGCCACCCCCGAAGCUCAUUCGUCUACCCAGCGCCGCCCUUCCCCUUGAGUUCAUUCAACGCAAACCAGCCUCUCUUGGUACUUUCGCGGACACGGAGAAAGAAAUGGAGAUAAGAAUGGUCCUCUUGUCUCGCCCUCAACUCUCUUUCUCUAAUUCUAUGCCCUCGAUUUCUUUGCCUUUGCUUUACUUUAAUACCCUAAUCUCUCUUUAUCCAAAUUUCUUAUCUUCGUUGUCCGAUCCCCAGUUCUAAACUGCAAUUUCAGAUGGAUUUAGUUGAUCUAUUUUUCAAGCUAAUUGUAGGGAGACUUUUCGGCAUUAUGGCAGGGAUGAGGAUAAUUGAUGAUGUAGUUUCGCAUUGAUGAUCGUGAUUGGAAUUAGGGUCACUUUUUGUAUUUGGCACUGUCUCAUAUGAGAAUUCUAUAACUUGUCUUACUUUGAAACAUGAAAUAUGUACAUUAAAGAGUGCAGUGUAAAAGUGCAUGUUAUAACUCGGUGUAUUUUGUAAAUGUGCUUAAAUUUGCUUCUUGUAACUAGUAUAUUACUUCAAA